rnacentral:rRNA from 1 species
GAUGAACGCUGGCGGCGUGCCUAAUACAUGCAAGUCGAGCGAACAGAUGAGGAGCUUGCUCCUCUGACGUUAGCGGCGGACGGGUGAGUAACACGUGGAUAACCUACCUAUAAGACUGGGAUAACUUCGGGAAACCGGAGCUAAUACCGGAUAAUAUAUUGAACCGCAUGGUUCAAUAGUGAAAGACGGUUUUGCUGUCACUUAUAGAUGGUUCCGCGCCGCAUUAGCUAGUUGGUAAGGUAACGGCUUACCAAGGCCACGAUGCGUAGCCGACCUGAGAGGGUGAUCGGCCACACUGGAACUGAGACACGGUCCAGACGCCUACGGGAGGCAGCAGUAGGGAAUCUUCCGCAAUGGGCGAAAGCCUGACGGAGCAACGCCGCGUGAGUGAUGAAGGUCUUCGGAUCGUAAAACUCUGUUAUUAGGGAAGAACAAAUGUGUAAGUAACUAUGCACGUCUUGACGGUACCUAAUCAGAAAGCCACGGCUAACUACGUG